AUUGAACGCUGGCGGAAUGCUUUACACAUGCAAGUCGAACGGCAGCACGGGUGCUUGCACCUGGUGGCGAGUGGCGAACGGGUGAGUAAUAUAUCGGAACGUCUCCAAUAAUGGGGGAUUACUAGCCGAAAGGUUAGCUAAUACCGCAUACGCCAUGAGGGGGAAAACUGGGGAUCGUAAGACCUAGCGUUGAUGGAGCGGCCGAUAUGUGAUUAGCUAGUUGGUGGGGUAAGCGCCUACCAAGGUGACGCUCAGUAGCUGGUCUGAGAGGACGGCCAGCCACACUGGAACUGAGACACGGUCCAGACUCCUACGGGAGGCAGCAGUGGGGAAUUUUGGACAAUGGGGGCAACCCUGAUCCAGCCAUUCCGCGUGAGUGAAGAAGGCCUUCGGGUUGUAAAGCUCUUUCGCAAGGGAAGAAAACUCGAUCUCUAAUAUAGGUUGAGGCUGACGGUACCUUGAUAAGAAGCACCGGCUAACUACGUGCCAGCCGCCGCAGUAA
rnacentral:rRNA from 1 species